rnacentral:lncRNA from 1 species
GUCAACAUGUUGGUCCCUACUGAGGAAAUCUUAAAAAGUUUAAAGGGUACUACUCUUGCUGUGAAGUGACUUUCUUCAUUUAAGAGAAAGUCUGGUUGGAAGAAGAAGAAUAAAGCCAUGAAGAAGUAGAAGAAGAAGAACAAGCCAAAGAAGGAUGUUCCAAAGAAGGGUGUAGACAAAAGAAAGUGUUUCUACUGUGAUGCUGAUGGCC